rnacentral:lncRNA from 1 species
AUGAUUGGAAGGCAAUAGAAGCUGUCUAUUUGGGUGACAUCAUCACUGGAGAGCAGGCUGCCCUGGCAGAAAAGACGAAGGAUAUACCAGUCCCAGUCUGACUUACCUCCAGAAGUGAUAGAAAAGUAGAGGGACAUUCAGCCCCAGCGUGAGCCACUCUUGCGCACACAGGAACAUAAUGCAGAAGAGGCUAUGGAUGGAGUAUUCUGGCAGCACCAGCUGAAGAGGGAGCAGAGACACGGCCCUGAGUUAGAGGAGGAAAACGCCACUCCUGCUUCUAUGGCAGCUGACUUCUGCCUGGACACUGCCUCUCACAGACGGUUGACACAAAGGCCCUCCCUGCAGCAACGUAGAGCCACUGCCCCAACACAGAUCCAUUUCUGAUACGCAUCAAGAGCCUACUAUGAGGUGUCAAACACUGUGGCAGGCACUGGAGGUGCCAGGAUGAGUUCAAUGAGCCUGGUGACAAUGUUCCAGGCACCCCCAGGCUGAUGGGAGAGACCGACAGCUGAACACUGGACCAUGCCGCAGCCAGCACUCACACACUGUGUAAAGGGGACCAUAACGAUGUCUACAUCCCAGGGCUGUCGCGAGUGAGAUCAUCCAACCAAGCACUUUGUACAACGUCUGGCAUAUUAUACCACAUAUAAUACCUUAAUAAAUGUUGUUAUAGAAAAAAAC